rnacentral:rRNA from 1 species
CCUACGGGAGGCAGCAGUGAGGAAUAUUGGUCAAUGGACGAGAGUCUGAACCAGCCAAGUAGCGUGAAGGAUGACUGCCCUAUGGGUUGUAAACUUCUUUUAUAUGGGAAUAAAACGUUCCACGUGUGGGAUUUUGUAUGUACCAUAUGAAUAAGGAUCGGCUAACUCCGUGCCCGCGGCCGCGGUAAUACGGAGGAUCCGAGCGUUAUCCGGCUUUAUUGGGUUUAAAGGGAGCGUAGGUGGAUUGUUAAGUCAGUUGUGAAAGUUUGCGGCUCAACCGUAAAAUUGCAGUUGAAACUGGCAGUCUUGAGUACAGUAGAGGUGGGCGGAAUUCGUGGUGUAGCGGUGAAAUGCUUAGAUAUCACGAAGAACUCCGAUUGCGAAGGCAGUUCACUGGACUGCAACUGACACUGAGGCUCGAAAGUGUGGGUAUCAAACAGGAUUAGAUACCCCUGUAGUC